UACGUAGGGUGCAAGCGUUAAUCGGAAUUACUGGGCGUAAAGCGUGCGCAGGCGGUUAUGUAAGACAGGGGGGAAAUCCCCGGGCUUAACCUGGGAACUGCAUUUGUGACUGCAUAGCUAGAGUACGGUAGAGGGGGAUGGAAUUCCGCGUGUAGCAGUGAAAUGCGUAGAUAUGCGGAGGAACACCGAUGGCGAAGGCAAUCCCCUGGACCUGUACUGACGCUCAUGCACGAAAGCGUGGGGAGCAAACAGG
rnacentral:rRNA from 1 species